GGACGAACGCUGGCGGCGUGCUUACCACAUGCAAGUCGAACGGAAAGGCCUGCUUUCCCCUGUGGAUUGCGGGUACUCGAGUGGCGAACGGGUGAGUAACACGUGAGUGAUCUGCCCCCAACUUGGGUAUAAGCCUGGGAAACUGGGUCUAAUUCCCGAUAGGACUGCAGGGUGGUGCCUGUGGUGGAAAACGAUUUUCUAGUGGUUGGGGAUGAGCUCGCGGCCUAUCAGCUUGUUGGUGGGGUAAUGGCCUACCAAGGCGGCGACGGGUAGCCGGCCUGAGAGGGUGGACGGCCACAUUGGGACUGAGAUACGGCCCAGACUCCUACGGGAGGCAGCAGUGGGGAAGAUUGCACAAUGGGCGGAAGCCUGAUGCAGCGACGCCGCGUGGGGGAUGACGGCCUUCGGGUUGUAAACUCCUUUCGACCGCGAGGAAGCCACCUGGUUGGAAGGGUGGUGACGGUAGUGGUAGAAGAAGCACCGGCUAACUACGUG
rnacentral:rRNA from 1 species